UCUGGCUUUUCAUUAUUUAAAAAAACCCUAUCCAUAUAAAUCUCUCCAUCCAGACAGAGUGAACAUUAGCCACUUACCGCGCUAGCUCUUUCGCCUUUCAGAGACGCUGAACGGUUCCAGUAAAUGCUCCCUGCAGAAGCAGAAGAAAAGAAGGGACCACCUUUCCAAAAGGGUGCAAUUCGAUUCCAGGCACAAUGCUGAUGCCUUGUUCUCCCUCACCUCCUUGGUUGGAGUUUGGAUGCCCAGGGGUUUGUCUCUUCCAUAUACGAUAGGAUGCAUCAAGACCUGGGCCGAUGACGGGACCUACGCCAAAGAUUUUAUCUAGAAAACAUAACCUCUUUACAAUAUACAUGUAUUUUUGUUCAACAUUAAAUAUGUAAACUAACA